UUAAAUUGAAGAGUUUGAUCAUGGCUCAGAUUGAACGCUGGCGGCAGGCUUAACACAUGCAAGUCGAACGGUAACAUAAGUGCUUGCACUUGAUGACGAGUGGCGGACGGGUGAGUAAAGUAUGGGGAUCUGCCGAAUGGUGGGGGACAACAGUUGGAAACGACUGCUAAUACCGCAUAAAGUUGAGAGACCAAAGCAUGGGACCUUUGGGCCAUGCGCCAUUUGAUGAACCCAUAUGGGAUUAGCUAGUAGGUGGGGUAAAGGCUCACCUAGGCGACGAUCUCUAGCUGGUCUGAGAGGAUGGCCAGCCACACUGGAACUGAGACACGGUCCAGACUCCUACGGGAGGCAGCAGUGGGGAAUAUUGCACAAUGGGGGGAACCCUGAUGCAGCCAUGCCGCGUGUAUGAAGAAGGCCUUCGGGUUGUAAAGUACUUUCGGUGAUGAGGAAGGUGUUGUAUCUAAUAGGUGCAACAAUUGACGUUAAUUACAGAAGAAGCACCGGCUAACUCCGUGCCAGCAGCCGCGGUAAUACGGAGGGUGCGAGCGUUAAUCGGAAUGACUGGGCGUAAAGGGCAUGUAGGCGGAUAAUUAAGUUAGGUGUGAAAGCCCUGGGCUCAACCUAGGAAUUGCACUUAAAACUGGUUAACUAGAGUAUUGUAGAGGAAGGUAGAAUUCCACGUGUAGCGGUGAAAUGCGUAGAGAUGUGGAGGAAUACCGGUGGCGAAGGCGGCCUUCUGGACAGAUACUGACGCUGAGAUGCGAAAGCGUGGGGAGCAAACAGGAUUAGAUACCCUGGUAGUCCACGCUGUAAACGAUGUCGAUUUGGAGUUUGUUGCCUAGAGUGAUGGGCUCCGAAGCUAACGCGAUAAAUCGACCGCCUGGGGAGUACGGCCGCAAGGUUAAAACUCAAAUGAAUUGACGGGGGCCCGCACAAGCGGUGGAGCAUGUGGUUUAAUUCGAUGCAACGCGAAGAACCUUACCUGGUCUUGACAUCCACAGAAUCCUGUAGAGAUAUGGGAGUGCCUUCGGGAACUGUGAGACAG
rnacentral:rRNA from 1 species